AUGACAGCAAGGUGAGAUUUUUACGUGAAGAGUCAUGUAGAACCAUCCUAAAAGAUUCAGUGAUUGGAUAGAGAUAAGUCAAAGGUGGGAUAAAGUGGGAUUGGCAUGCAGAAGUUCUUAUUUUUCAUCAGAUUCGCACGUGGUCAUGGUUUUAUUUCUCAGUACAUUCCAUCACAAAGACUUUUGGUGCGAUUGAGAUGUUUAUCAUCCAACCGCGACAAGCAGAUAUCCAACCCUAUAAGUACAAGACUCGGUGCAACGGAAGAAGGGCCUCCAAUUCAACACACAAUUGCCCUGUGCAAAUUCUCUCAACAAACUUGAGAUUUUUUAUUUUCUUUUUCACUGACACAUCUUCAGUUGGCAUAAACAGCACUGUAGAGGCAACCGGUGAUAUCUUCAGUUGGCAUAAACAGCACUGUCGUCGUAGAAUCAGCCGAUCUCGCAACAUCUUCAGUUGGCAUAAACAGCACUGUGUCGAGGCCGACUGGUUACCUAUCCAAGUCUCGGUCGAGAAUGAUUUCUGAAUCCUUGUUGGUCGAGGUCAUCUCAUCAGCCUUCUCGGCGAAGUGAGGUGUUACGAGUUAUUACAUUCAGCACAUUGGAAGCCGAAUUUGAUAUUGAACUUCGCUAAAUUAGCAGCCUUGUCUUCAUGCUCUAGAACCCGAAAGCCGAGACAAGUUCCUUCCUUGGCCGUAAUCGCAAGACGCAGAAGUCAGCCGCGCACCCAACACAACAUCAACAUAUUUUACUCAUCGGCUAACGAGUUGGCACGCCUCGCACACAACCGAAUGAUGUAGUUAGCUCAUAGAUUACUUGGCCUGCGCACCACGUAGGUUUAGUAGUUUUUAGGGUCAACAUUUUGGCAUACCCAGUGGGACACAAUGCUAAUACUACAAAAUUCAUAUGAUAUAUCAAGAUUCCAAUCUGGUUCAACGUAGCCGAUUGCACGAGCUUCUAGAGGAAUUGAAAAAACACAAUGAGGAAUGUAAAAGAUCUUUGGAAGUGGAAAAAGUUCUUCGUGGCCAUAGAGAGACGCAAAAGUCAUUUGUUUACAUGUUGAGAAUAAAAGCUCCUGUUACCCUGCAAGAGCAAUGGGUAAAUGAAGACAGGGCUCGAUUUAAUGCCUGACUAGAUGAUGACCGUUUUCCUUACGUUUCUGAUUACAGAUCAAUUCCAUUUGAAAAAUGGUUAAGUCCAAAGGCCGGGGGGUAAUUUUUCGCUCCGGCCACAAACAUCAUUCGGCCUAAGAAGAUUGUCACGAUUGCCGAAGAAAAACCUAGGCUACCUAUUUUGUCGGUUGAGACUAAAAGUGUGGUAGGCCUAGAAGAAAAAGUUCAAGUUUCUAAGCCAAAAAUUGAAUCAGAAAAUAAUUCAUCAAAUGAAGGUUCCAAUGAUGAACGAGGCCGAUACACGGCUUCAAACCAUAAAAUCACAACAAUUGAUAGGGUAAUUGAAGACAUAGGCCUAGCCGGAAAAAUCACGCCAAUUGAUAUGAUUAUUGGUGAUAAAGCCGAUAUGGAAAAAUCCCAUUUGACUAAGUUGUUCGAGUUAAGAGCCGAAAUUGGCAAAAUUAUUAUGCCUGGGGGGCAUAAUAAUUGUUCACCACAUUUGGUGGCCAAUAAAAAUAUUCCUUCAAGCCGAACAUAUUUGGAGAUGAUCUUUUCUUCGGCUUUGGAAAAUCUCAAAGUGAAAAUUUUAAUGUAAAAAGAUCUUGGCUCGGAAUAAAACAUUGUUGGCCCCCUCCAGUUUAUAGUUCGGCCACUUUUGUUUUCUUUUGUUAAAUAAAUAACUUAUUUUCUUAACCAUUCGGCUGCUCGGGCUGAUACUUAAGAAAAUAGGGGGCAAACAAGCAGAAAUCUGAUUGCAUUACAUUUUGAAAAAAAAAAUUUAUAUAUAUAUAUAUAUAUAUAUAUAUAUAUAUAUAUCUAAUGAAUAAAUUAUUUUCUUAAACAUACGGCUAUGCAAGCCGAUGUAAAGAAAAUGGGGGGCAAAUAUUACAGGCUUGCUCUCAAUAAGCUCCUCGGUGAAAUUUAAGUGGUGAGUGCUUGAUACUUUUCUCGACUUCGGCUUAAUGGUUUGUCUCGGCCCCACAGUAUGCAAGCAUGACACUUGGUGCAAUACUAAAAGAUGCUUGGUGCAGCUACUAUGGGAUAAAGGUGAAAUGGCCAUAGGCUGAUGUGAUGUGGUGAUUAUAUCUAGACAAGAGAAAAGUAGGCUUUAACGUAUGGACAUGUUAUGGCGUGAGGAAUUAUGAUUUGCUUCCAAAUUAUGUCAGAAUACCACCGGGAUGACAAGUUUUUGUAGGCUGAGCUCGACUAACUAGUCGAGAUACACUUUCCAAGUUAUGCAACAAAAUCUUUGGGCAUAACUUUUGAAACAGGGGGAACAUGUGAUAUAAUCGGCAGUUUAAAUUUUUUUUUUAGUCUUGCCGUGAGAAGUGUUUUUAGCGUGUUGGGCUACCAUUCUUAAUAUUAAUGCCAAGGCUAGUGGUUCUCCAUGUUGCUAUGUGCAACAUAAUCACCUAGUCUAUGGCUGUUUUUCUUCCUCGACAAACGGUUCACUCGAUGAGAUUGUACUCGUCUUUCCUUUCCAGCUACCGGUACUGAAGGCUUCCUUGAGAGUCAUGCUUGAGAUUCAUGGAGAUUAUUUUAUGGAAGGAAAAGGCAAACAAUGGGAGUUCAAAUUUUUCCAUUCGACCAUUAAGAUUUGACCAUUUGAAGUAAUAAGAAUUGCAGUACUGGUGCUCGGCCAUGAGAAGUUUAGUUUUUCCAUUCGGCCAAUACAUACAUUUAGGACAUUUAGUUACUUGAUUGAGACAAAAUGAGGAAAGGUGUUAGUCAGCCCACUCAUAGAUGAAAACCAGGUUGGGACCCCACAGUGAGGUUGGAGAUAUAGAAAAUGACCCAUUUUUUUGUAGCCAUUCGACAUAUGCAUGCUGUAUCCUUUCUUGGUAGCAGAACGUGCUCAGUUGAGAUUUAAUAUAUAAUUAGCAGUAGCACAUAAGGAUGCCAUUACCAAUUUUAAAAACACCAAGAAGUGGAUGGCUGAAUGACACGUGGACCAGCUAGCCGAGGAACAUCCCAUGCAGCACCGAGUCAUGCGUUGACAGGACCCUUCUAGUAUGCAUGGCAUAUCUACAUUAGAAGGUUAUUGUUGACCCUAAAAACUAUCAAGCUUACGUGGCGCGCAGGCCGAGUAAUUUAUGAGCUAACUACGUCAUUCGGUUGAAUGCGGGGCAUGCCAACUCGUCGGCCGAGCUCGGCCGAGGAGUAAAAUAUACUGAUGUUGAGUUGGGUGCGCGGCUGACUUCUGCGUCUCGCGAUUACGACCGAGGAAGGAACACGUCUCGGCCUCUUGGAUUCUCGAACCUGAAGACAAGGCUACUAUUCUUACGAAGUUUACAAAUUGUCGCCGUCAGAUUCGGUCACAAUGAUGGUAUUUGUCAGAGUAAACUCACGCCGAAUCGACACCAAAGUGUAAGGGCACAAAUACUCAAAGCGGAUAUAUGUCUUAAUAAUAAACGUGGUUCGGCCGUCGGAAUGCCAAACUCUAAAUCCCACUUAAGAGUAUCUAAUCAUAAACUAACUCGGCGUGCAAUGUGCCGAGCUCAAUAAACUGUAACACCUCACUUCACCGAGAAGGCUAAUGAGAUGACCUUGACCAAUAAGGAUUUAGCAAUCCUUUUCGACCAAGACUUGGAUAGAUAACCAAUCACCCUCGACGCAGUGAUAUCUAUACUGACUGAAGAUGCUGCGAGACCGACUGGUUCUACGGUAACAGUGUUAUCUAUGCCGACUGAAGAUAUCACCGGUUGCCUUCACAGUGUUGUUUAUCCAAACUGAAGGUGUGUCGGCAAAAAAAAAAAAAAAAAAGUCUCAAGGUUGUUGAGAGAAUUUGUGCAGGGCAAUUGUGUGUUGAAAUGAAUGGGGGCUUUGAAUGUUGCUUGCGACUCUGUAUUUAUAAUAACGAAUACGCACUGGUUGAUAAGAUGAGAAAGACUCACAAACUAUUAAAACUCAUUUUAUCUCAUUGAAUCCAAGAUAACCUGCAUGCUUGGAUAACGUCCAUCUAAUCAACCACCAAUUAUAUACAUACAUAUAUAUAUAUAUAUAUGUUGAUGCACAAAAUCAGUGAUGACUUUGGUACAACAGAAAGUGUUAAGUUUGUGACCUUCGCUAGAUUGCUCCGGUUUCUAGUGUGGAUAAGUAAGUAAAUGGAUAGGGACAGGGAAGCAAACACAAGAUGUACGUGGUUCACCCAGAUUGGCUACGUCCACGGAGUAGAGGAGUUCUCAUUAAUUGUGAAAGGUUUACACAAGUACAUAGGUUCAAGCUCUCCUUUAGUGAGUAUUGGUGAAUGAUUUAGUACAAAUGAUAUUAGGAAAUAUUGUGAGAGAAUGAUCUCUAUUUAUAGAAGAGAGUUUCUAGUUUCAUUCUGACAUUGACACGUGUUGUGUUGUGAUUGGCUUCUGAUGUUAACACGUGUCGCGCUAUGAUUGGCUUCUAAUGUCGACACGUGUCACGCUGUGAUUGGCCUCCUAGUUGGAAAGAAACUCUCCUGGGUCCUUAACGGUAUAACGUGGUGCUCAAUAGUUUUGGGAUUGGUUAAGUAUGGUACAAACAAUAUAUAUGUGUAUAUAUAUAUAUAUAUAUAAAACAAAGUUUGCACCUUUCCAAUGAGUUCGCAUACAUAAUGUCGCCAAUUAUAUAUAUAUAUAUAUAUAUAUAUAUAUAUAUAUAUAUAUGUGGCUGGUAGCCUUUGACACGGCAUGCAGGCCAUGUCUAUUCACUUCAUCUGACAACAUCCAUAAACCUAGCCCUCUUAGGUCUCCUAUCUCAUCCUCACCUCAUCAACAAUAGCCAUCAUCAUUCUGAUCAAAUGAAUUUUAAAUCCAUUUUACUUCCAAGUGUUGUCAGACAUCCCAAAUCAAUUCGAAUUGUACUGCUUAUUCGGUACAUGAAUCACAUUCUAUUUAUCUGGUUUAAGAAGAUACCAAGAUAAUUCAUAUUAAAAGAUAAUUAUAAUAUUAUCCUUUAAUAACCAAAUUAUCUCUACUUUCUCAUCUGACAGUUGAGAACCAUGCCCACUCAACUGCCUCGAUCGCUUGGGCCGAUGGUGUAAAAUCGGGUCCAAACAGUUAUCCAGGUUAUCAUUUCAAGUAGGAAAAAGAUGUGAUGGAGAUGCAUGGCCGACAAUUCAUAUAGGCAAUCAGGUUACCUAUAUAUAUAUUUUUUAUUUAUUUAGAUAUAAGUACCAGGAGAAGCAGUGGGCAAGAGUCCUUGAGACUUCGAUCUCAUUUGGUUUUUAUCGGCCUUCGACUUCAGUUGGUUCCCUCGGCCCAAAUUUCCUCGACGCCAUUUGGUUUUCCUCGGUCCAAAUUCGAGAUGGUCGAAGAGGUUAUUUAUUAAAGUGGCCGAGCCUUGUAUGGAAUUGUGGCAGCCGAGGAAGAUCAUAGCAUUGGCAAUACAGAGAUAUUGUUGCUGAGUAAAAAGUUUCAUUUUCGACAAUAGGGGAGGUUCUUCGACUGACUAAUUUCCUUCACCAUUCGGCUUACGGGCCGAAGCUCAAGGGAACUGGGGGGUAAUGUUUGGACCUAAAUUAACACCAUCGGCCCGUGUAAUCAAGGUCGUUGAGUAAGCAUAGUUCUCAACCGUCAGAUGGAAAAGGGAAGAUAUUUUUGUUAAAGGAUAAUAUUAUGGUUUUUAUCAUAAUUAUCUUUUAAUACGAAUUAUAUGCAUCUUCUUAAACCAGAUAAAUAGGGUUCGAAUUAUAUCUCAACGGAGAGACAGGUGGAACAGUCCGAUUUAAUUUGGAUUUGUUAACAAUGUACCGUGUGGGUUAGAGCAACUCAGCUAUAUAUAUAUAUAUUUGAUUGAUGGCUGAUGUAACAUGCAUAUGGCAAGAAAAUGAGGCCUAGCCUAGCUAGGCUUCUAAUAUGAUAGAAGGUCAGGUUAUCAAGAUGACAGCAAGGUGAGAUUUUUACGUGAAGAGCCGUGUAGAACCAUCCUAAAAGAUUCAGUGAUUGGAUAGGGAUAAGUCAAAUGUGGGAUAAAGUGGGAUUGGCAUGCAGAAGUCCCUAUUUUUCAUCAGACUCGCAUGUGGUCAUGGUUUUAUUUCUCAGGAUAUUCUGUCACAAAGACUUUGGGUGCGAUUGAGAUGUUUAUCAUCCAACCGUGGCAAGCAGAUAUGUACACGACUCGAUGCAACGGAAGAAUGACCUCAAAUUCAACACACAACUACCCUGCGCAAAUUCUCUCAACAACCUUGAGAUUUUUUCUUUUCUUUUUCCCCGACACAUCUUCAGUUGGCAUAAACAGCACUGUGGAGGCAACCGGUGAUAUCUUCAGUUGGCAUAAACAGCACUGUCAUCGUAGAAUUAGCCGAUCUUGCAACAUCUUCAGUUGGCAUAAACAGCACUGCGUCGAGGCCGACUAGUUACCUAUCCAAGUCUCGAUCGAGAAGGAUUUCCGAAUCCUUGUUGGUCGAGGUCAUCUCAUCAGCCUUCUCGGCGAAGCGAGGUAUUACGAGUUACUACAUUCGGAACAUUGGAAGCCGAAUUUGAUAUUGAACUUCGUUAAGUUAGCAGCCUUGUCUUCAGGCUCUAGAACCUGAAGGCUGAAACAAGUUCCUUCCUCGGCCGCAAUCGCAAGACGCAGAAGUCAGCCGCGCACCCAACGCAACAUCAACAUAUUUUACUCCUCGGCCAAGCUCGGCCAACGAGUUGGCAUGCCCUGCACACAACCGAAGG
rnacentral:lncRNA from 1 species